UGCACUCGUAGCUCAGCUGGAUAGAGCAACCGCCUCCUAAGCGGUAGGUCAUCGGUUCAAAUCCGAUUGAGUGCAU
rnacentral:tRNA from 1 species